GGGUCAGUAGGUUGGUCGUGCCACCGGUACGUACUGGUCUCACUGAUUCCUCCUUCCUGAAGAACCGUAAUGCCAUUAAUUUGGUGUUGCGGGGAAACCGGACUGUUACUUUGAAAAAAUUAGAGUGUUUAAAGCAAGCUAACGCUUGAAUACAUUAGCAUGGAAUAAUGAAAUAGGGCGAUCGAUCCUAUUUUGUUGGUUUCUAGGAUUGACGUA
rnacentral:rRNA from 1 species